AAACAGAGAGCUCUAGAACAGGUUUCUCUUGGAAGUAUUUUGUAUUUUGCCAAUACUACGCCUUAUCCGAGAGGAUUUUAGUUUUUUCAGCGGCACUGAGCAAUUUCUAUGUAAUCUCAGACAUUUCUCUCCUGGGCAGAGAGUUUAGAAUUUCCUCUCGGAUGGCUGCUAGGAUGCCAGCAGAUGACCAUUUGUUCUGGACUUCCACUGCCUACCUUACAUUUCUUUGAAAGGAAUAUCUCUGCAAAAUUACAUCAGGCUACUAGGACCAAUGUAACAUCCAUGUGGCCUCCUACACUUUCUAAUUCCAACUAGAAUUCUUCAUGAUUGCUGCUUGUACAUUUCCAGGCAGACCUCUGCCAGUGUAUCAGCAUUCUUCAUAGGUGCUCACAAAUCUGCUGCUGCAGAUGUUAGGUAUUGAUGUCAAAGUAGUUUCCUGGAUCCAUUCCCCCCCCCUUUUUAAAAAAAAGUUGGAACCACAUUAUUGCUGCCAGUUCCUUCCAUCUCCAGGACCUCUCAAAGAUUUCAUUCAUUGAUUUCAAGAUCACAUCUGCCAGCUACCUCAGCAACCUGGGAUAUAAACCAUCUGAUCAAGGAGACUUGAACUCAUUCAAAGCAGUUAGGGGUUCUGUUACCAAUUCCUUACCUACAGUAUAUCUGACAUAAAAUGGUUUGAUCUUGUAGAGUGGAACUGAUGAAUACUGACAGGGAAAGUAAGAUGUAAUUAUGAAUGAAAGGCCUAAAAUAUAAUUGUAUAUUAUGAAUUGGUGUUAUCUAAAUUUUUGUGAAUGUAUAAAAAUUGAAAUUUACAGGUUGGUGAUAGGUCUUUUUACGCUCAAGCAAACGGUAACAAUGAUAGAACAUGGAAUGAGUUUUGGAAAAAGUUGUAGAAUUUUUUGAAUGAAUGCAAUUUGGGGAAAUAUUCUGUUAUAUGAUAUAAAUGGGGAGAAAUGAGAUGAGAGAGUACAGAAAAUGUUGGAGACCCAGAAUGAAUA